GGACGAGUAGGGUCUGGGGUUGGGGGUGGGAGCGUUACCUGCGUGGAGCGGGUCUGUGGGCCCUUGUGGUGGGGCUGGGAGGGAGGAGGGCGUGGGAGAAGAGGAAGGCACUUUCCCCAGGGGCAAAGCUUGCGACCUGGCACUGAAGGCAGAGAUCUCCACACCUCUUUGCCGUGCAUUCCCACGAAGCGAUCGUCCUUCCUGUGCUCCAAAUUUCCCUCUUCCUGGGGAACCCCUGAAGAAAAGUACUACAGGGACGGAAGCAGAAACGUCUGCAAAUCUGAUUGCACGGAAGUCUUUUGUGACUGGGAGAACAGGACUUUGGAACCAGUUGCAGAAACAGGAGUUCAGCGAGGAGGCCGGUGAAGGCACUAGGUGUGGUGGGAACGAGCCUAGGAUGGCUGCUAUGGCAUCGGGGGAAUCCAAAUAAUGAGAGGUCGGACCUGUCUGGGUGAGCUGCUUCAUGCACUGUGAACCAACUUAACUUCCCUCUCUGCUCUCUGUCCCUGCGUCCAUAGGUGCUUUGCUGGCCCCGGGGCUGCCAAGUGAGGCUGGGUUAGCAGCACGGUUGACGUCGGAGCAGGUUUGGGGUUAGCUGGUGGUAGUUUUCAUGCAAAACCUUCUGCGUUUCUGUGAUCCUUGAAAACAUUUGAUAGGAUCUUUGACGCACCUUUAUGUAUAGAGUUGCAGAAGAAGUGAGAAGCCUGC
rnacentral:lncRNA from 1 species